CUAGCGGGUCGGGGCCGGGGUCUGGGGAGUCGGGGGCGACGGGGCGUCGUGACUCGGAAGUGGAGGCACAGGGCGGGCGGCCCCGGCGGCUCACCCAGCGGUCACCCGGACCGAAACCGGGGUGAACAACCUCCUCGUCUUUGUGUGGUGAAACCCGAAUUUCCGAGCGGCGGCCCGCCGUCGCGCCCGGGCCGCCGCCCGGGGCCUGGGGCGGUGGGUGGACAGGAGCCCGCGCCCUCCCAGGGGAGGUGGGCUGCUGCGGGAGAGCGGGAUGUGCGCGGACGCCAGGUCCCCAGGAGACGGAGCCCGCGGGCACUUGCCCCGGGGCAGCCCUUCUCCCUUUCAGCCGCCUCCGCCGAACGUGCAUCCCGAGCAGGGUUUAAAGAUUUUUUUUUUUUUAAUUAUUUAUUUGACAGAGAUAGAGACAGCCAGCGAGAGAGGGAACACAAGCAGGGGGAGUGGGAGAGGAAGAAGCAGGCUCACAGCGGAGGAGCCCGAUGUGGGGCACGAUCCCGUAACGCCGGGAUCACGCCCUGAGCCAAAGGCAGACGCCCAACCGCUAUGCCACCCAGGCGCCCCCCGAGCAGGGUUUAGACUCUGCUUGAGAUCCAGGCUUGACAUUUUUAGGUGAAACGUGAGGGUUCCGUGUCACUGUGACGUGCCAAUUUGUGUGCAUGCAGAAAUGCAGCAACAAAGACUGGGCUGAACCCUGACCAUCAGUGAAGGGUCUGCAUUACCCCAGACUAUAGUGGACACGCGUGUGUGGCUGGUGGCGUGUACACCUGUGUACAAACAUUUUCUCAGAAAUUAAAAAAAUCUUGCUCUGAAGUAGUUUCCCUGUGGAAAAAAACCAUAGGUUCAACUGAUGCACCUUCUAUCUCUGAAAUUUGCAGUCUUAAUAACUCAAGGUAACUUUAGAGAGGCCUUGGGAGAUGGUCCCUUUCAAAUUCAGAAAAAUGAUAAAAAAUGAUGCUUAUAGAGAAAUUAGUGAAAGAAUCCUGAGCUCUAUGGGCCCUCAGACGGGAAGAAGGGAGAGGAAGUCCAAUCCAGAGACUCAGCUUUGUAGUUCUCAUCUCUUAAAUAUGCUUCCAGGUGGCGGUAUAAUUGCAAGGUGACUCACGCUGGAUGUUUUUAUUCUCCUGAGACAGACGGAGUGCCAGUUCAUCUUUCAAGAUUCGGCUCGUUUUGGGGCCUCAUCAGGGGAGCCUUGCCUGACUUCAGCCUCCUGGCCCUCGGGGGUGGAAACUGAGGCAGAGAGAGGCUGGAUAACUUGCCCCAGGUCUCAGAGCUCACGGAUGGCCAAGCCAGGAUUCAAAGCCAAGCUGGCAGGUCCCAGAGCCCGUGCUGUUGACAGGAUGUGGCCGCUCUGGUGGCAGCAGGAGAUAGGGGCUGGAGUAGGCGCGCAGGGGUGGAGUGAAGAGCCUGCACCGUGCCUGGCGGAGAGCCCCUCAUUGAUGUCCGUUCUCUGAGACCAGCGGGAUGUCCCACAGUUCGGUUCAGUUCCAACACCACCCACCUGGAGAUCCCACAGGUUAAAGGCUCCGUCCCAUGAGGCCCACGUCAUGACGUCAUGACGUCCCACGUCAGAGGCCAGUCACAAGUCCCAGGCUGUUGUCUGUAUUUCCGACCAACUGGCUAUAAAUUGGGGUUCCCAUGACCCCCUCCCUGGGCUUGAUAAUUUGCUAAAAUGGUUCACAGAAGUCAGAGAAACACUGGCUUACAUCUGCCAGUUUAUUAUAGGAUUAUAGUUCAUUAUGUUAAAGGAUACUGAUGAAGAGGCACAAGGGCAAGGUCCAGAAAGGUCUGGAGCACAGCAGCGUCUGUCCCCACGGAGCUGGGGUGUGCCACCCUCCUGGCACGAGAUGUGUUCAUCAGCCUGCGAGCUCCCAGAACUCUGCACUUGAGGGAUAUUAAUGGAGGCUUCAUCACGUUGGUCACACUGUGCGGAGAGCCCAGGGACGCAGUCACCGCUGUCACCCGGGGUCCAAUCCCUCAACACCUCGAUGACGGAUGGCUGAUGCAUGUAUCAGGUGAAGGCGUGAAAGGCAUCGCUUAGAAUCAUUGCCUUCGAUGAGUUAAGGACGGAUUUUAAGAGCCCCAUAGACCAGUGUAACCCUGUUCACGCGAGGGAACGGCUGAGGAACAUCGAGCGCAUCUGCUUCCUCCUGAGAAAGAGAGAGAGGGCGAGAGGGAGAGAAUAUGAAGCUGACUGCACUGAGCAUGGAGCCCGACACGGGACUCGAUCCCACAACCGUGAGAUCAUGACCUGAGCUGAAACCAAGAGUUGGAUGCUUAACCGACCGUGCCCCCCAGGCGCCCCCACCCCCACAACUUAGAGUUUUAUCUCUUUACCCUUCAGAACCCAGGUUUGCUCACUGAUUUCUCUGAAACCAGACGCCAGCUUGCUCUGCUCCAGCCGUAGCAACCUGCUGGGUUAUUUCUGCUGACGCUGGUGUGUGCGUGUCACUUCUGUCCCCGCGCCUUUGCCCACCCUCACAGCCCCCCCCCACCUGCUUUUCCUGCUUGACCCCGGGCCCACCAGGUAGCGCUCCCUCCGCAGAAGAGCCGUGACCUUCCCAGACUCCCAGGCUUGCCCGAAGCCUGGCCGCCUCCUGACACCUGUACCUGUCCUGUCAGCUGGGUCAGCUCCUCCCCCCUCACCUUUACCAGCUGCUUCCAAACCUGGUUGCUCAUCCAAGUCGUGAGCACAGCAUGUGAACUACAGAUCCCGGGGCCCCACCUUCUGGAAAUUCUGAAGUGGGGCUUGGAAAUCUGCAUUUCUGGAUUCUGAUGUGCAAUCAUGGUGGGAACCCUGCAGUCACGACAGGAUCUCCCACCGCCUUGUAUUUGUGUAUCUAUCUGUCUUCCGGAUCGUCCUCGUCCUGAAGGCAGGAUGGCGUCAGCAAGUCGUCCAGCCUUUAGAGCACCUGGUAGCAUGUGGCUCAUGGAAUUGUGACAAUCUCUGCACAAGUGUGUGUUGCAUGCAUGUGUGGGGAUGUCCUUUGAAGAGAUGAGGCGUGAGGGCUGGAGGGAACGUGUGAUGUACCCAGGAGUGGAGAGGAGACCCCAGUGAGAGAGGACCUUUCAGUUUUAAUCAGGCUUCUGGGACAUCACUUUGAAAUCUGUUUGCUUUCAUGGUCAAAAUAUUGCUCAUAGAUUGAAUUAUUUCCCGUUUUGAGAAAAUGCUCAUCUUUCUAAGGAUUUCUGAUGUGUACCUUAUUAUUUGGUUGUUUCACUUCUGGCUUUCUGGUUUCUAAAAUAGAACAUUUUAGAAUCUGGUCCCUGAGGUUGCUCUGGUAACCACCUUGAAAACUCUGGAACGCUUUAUCCUGUUUCCAAACUUCACAGAUUUCUCCAGCUGCCACACCGUGUCUGGGCUGUGCCCUGACUGCAAGGUUAACACUGACAAAUCUUCACGGAGUCGCUGGAUCUCCUAAAGCUCCUUGAAGACGUGCCAUGUUCUAGCACCAUUGUGGUCAGGGUGCGUGGCGUGUUCACCAGCAAGACACACAACUUCCUUCCUCUGAAGUGGGAGGUUUGGAACCUAAUCACCACGCGGUGUCUUCAGAAUGUGUCUCUGGUUUUACAAAAAGCCAAACCCAGCACCGAGCCCAUCGCUGCAGGGGAUGCAUGGUUUUGACAAUCACAGCCUAGCUUCUGACGUCGCAGCUCCUGCCUCGCUGGCUCGUGUGGGUCGCCCACCUGCACAUGCUGUGUGCAGGUCUGGGGCUCCCCUGGGGACCUGCAAACCUGCUGGGAUCAGAGGUCAGGGGCACAGCCCUGCGGGGUCAUUGAGGGGCCGUAUGGAGUUGGAGCCAAGUUCCUGGUGCGUCUCUGAGCUUCAGCUCGUACUCUGCAAAAUUCACCAUCAUCCCACAUAGACACAUGUAGUCGGGCUUUCCGGAAGGAAAGGAGCCAAGUCGGAGCUGUUUGCUCCCCACGAGGAAAUCUGCCCACCUCAGCAAUUUGGCCCAGGCUCGCAUCUCCCCUGUCAAUGCAACUUUUAAUUGGUCUGCAGCACUUAGCAUUCGUGUCCUGUUGCUUCUGAGCGGCUUGUACGAGGCCUGGCUCCUUGAGGUCACAGCUGCAUCCCGAAACCAGCUUGGGGGGCACUUGGGAUGGCCCUGGUAGCCCUGCCAUUCAGUGGAGCUCCUCUGGAAUUUUCCAUCAAAACAGCUUCACGAGAGUGUGUACUUCUGACCCCCCCACUCCUGAGAGUCACCGAGAGCUGCCUUGUGUGACACACUCCUGUGGCCCCGGGGACAACAUGAAAGGUCCUGGGAGCUGGAGGAGGCGUUUCCUGCUAUCUGCAAGGAGCACCCUUGCUUCGCAGGAGCGGGACAGCUGCAAGGUGGAGGGAAGGGGGACUGCACCCCUGGACCACUUUGGCCCCCACACUGGCUGGAGGGUAGGAGCCCCAGUGCAGGAAGGAGGGGUGGGCCCCUAGGUCUGUGGCAGGAGUGGAUGGAGAGGGGCUCUGGCCACGGGGGAGUGAUGUGCCAGCCUCAGGGGCAUCCCAUGGCACCCGUGGAUGAGUGACCAUCAGUGCCGACCCUGGGACACCAUGCAGCGCUGCCCCCGAGAGCAUGCGCUGUUUCCAACUUGUGCCUGGACUGUUUGCAUUCUGGAAAUUCGCUUGGAAGCCGCUGGCUGGUGCUCAGUGUUUCUGGCAAUCCAGGGAUCUGUGUCACCAGGUGAGGUGAGGGGCAGGACCCAUGUCAUCUGUGCUGCUCAUGUGCCUUCACGAAAACAAACCUGAGGAAGAAGGCCCUGGGCCCCUCGGCGUUCCCAGGCUUGCCCUUUGCAGACACAUGUGUCUAAGUGGCAGGGACGCAGCAGGGACAUCAGUGCCCCAGGCCAGCAUGCAUUUCUUCACCACUGAGUUCGGUGUCUUUCUCCUCCAACAUGAACUUGCCAGUCUUGAUGCCAGCCUCCGUCACCUUGGGUCUCACACUGCCCUUCCUUGGCCUCCUGGGCUCUUCCCUCUCUCCUCGUCCUGCAUGUUGGGGGAUCCCAGACCCAGCGCUGGACUCUGUGCCCCGCCUCCUCCGCUCAGUGCCUUCCACCAGGCAGUCCGAAUUUUCUUUGCCAUGUUUCCUCAGCCUCCAGGUCCCUGUUGUGAGGACCGAGCCCUGCGCCUAACCGUCCCACAGACACUUGCGACGCUGGCCAGUGCUGGGCUCCUGGCUCCCCCAGAACGCCUCCCCUUCCAGUGCUCCUCCUGUGUGUGAGCCCACGUCUGCCAUGCAGGACUUCGGAGUGAUGGGUUUGUCCUCUCCCGCCUGCUGGCUAUUGUGGACUGGCUGCUGCGUUCUGCAGGUGGGACCUCCUACGCGUUGUUCAAGCCCAUCCACGUGGCUUCGUCCCUUCUGCCCAUCCUGUCCUGACUGCCACUGUCUCUUGCCCAGACCCUCCAGAGAAGGAAUGAGGCCAGAAGAUGACCCUUCUCCCCCAGGGCAGCCCUCCCAGACCCAAGACCUCCAGUCACUGGUUCUUGUGGCUCCUGGUAUCACAUUCUUCCCUUUCCCAACAUGUGUUUUCCACACCAGGAUGGAAGGUGCCUACAGACAGGGAUGAUGGCUCUUCCCCUUCCAUACCUCCUAUGCCCCCAGCACAUGGACCCUGAACAUGGCGAGUGUCGAGUGAAUGAGUAGUAGUCAUGGAAGUUGGACUAGUAGUCAUGGAAGUUUCCACUCACAUCUCCUGGUCUCAUGGUCGGGCCUCUUGCCGGGCCUCACCUGCCGCCCUGGACACUCCAAACUCGAAUUGCUGAGCUGUGAUUGGGCACUCAUCUGCUGUACUUGAGCCCUGGGGGACCCGCUGCUUGUGCCGUAAAGCAC